ACAUAAAGGUUCUCCAAGUCCCCACCAGAUUAGCUAGAUACAGAGUGCUGGUUGGUACAUCCUUAAACCCUGAGCUAGACCCAGAGUGCUGAUCGGUGCAUUUAGAAUCCUCCAGCUAGACAUAAAAGUUCUCCAAGUCCUUACCUGACUCAGGAGCCCAGCUGGCUUCACGUAGUGGAUCCCGCCGCGGGGACGCGGGCGGAGCUGCCCGCCAGUCCCACGCGCGCGCGCGCGCGCUCCCGCACUCCUCACCCCUUGGGCGGUCAAUGGAACCGGGUGCUGCCAAACAUGGGGCGGCGCACGUCACGGAGGCCCGGCUGCCCGGGAGCCCGCCGCAGUGGCGGGGGGCGGGGCUUGGGCAUGGCGGGCUGCAGGUCCUGAGCCCUCCCCUGGGGGUAGGCGGCUGAGGCCUGUUGAGAAUUAAAGCGCGGCGCGGGCGGGCUGGCAGUGCUGGGGGACCCGGCGCACCCUCCACAGCUGCUGGCCCCGGUGCUAAGCCCCGCUGAGCCUGCGCCCACCCGGAACUGGCGCUGGCUCGCGAGCGCGGCGCGCAGCCCCAGCUCCCGCCCGUGCCUCUCCCUCCACACCUCCCUGCAAGCAGAGGGAGCCGGCUCCGGCCUCAGCCAGCCCAGAAGGGGGCUCCCACAGCGCAGCAGCGGGCUGAGGGGCUCCUCAAGCACUGCCAGAGUGGACGCUGUGGCCUAAAGAGCAUUUGAGGAAACUGUCUUCCUGAACUCCACAAAUUUUGUAUGUUAUUUCAGCACUUGAGGAAACCGUCUUCCUGAACUCCACUGCAUCUCAGACAAGAAAGCAGUGAGCAAUUAACAUGGCAGGAAGAUUUAACAGUUACUCUUUAGACAAGAAAACAAGUCCAAUACUGAACAACGCCACCUCAGUGGGUCUGACAGAAGACAGAAGAAUUAAAGUUUAAUUGUGCAUUUCCAAGAACAUGUCAAUGCUAUAAAGGACUUACUAUACUUUCAGCCAACAACUGAGCCUAGGACAUCUCUGAACAUACAGUGGUGAGUGGCACAGCCUAGACCACGGUGACUAGAUUGUCUGCGGCAGAAAAAUUGUCUUUUGAAUUUUGAUCCCAAGAUUGGUGAUGGUGAGGGAUAGUCUUCUUCUGUCUAGUUGUGACACUUUGGGCAACUUAAAUUCUAUACAUUGCUUGCUUCUUAUCUGUAAAAUGAAAAACAAGCAAAUAUCAAAUUAUUGUUGUGUAAUUGAAUGAGUCAAGGUGUAUAACUUAUGCAGUAUAGUUUUUAAUACUUUGAAGUGGCUUGAAACAUGUUUUGUUCCCUUUCUGAGGCUGUCUGUGGCCAAUGAAACUCUGAUAAUAAUAAUAAAUCUGAGACUCUUUUAUUUGAAUACAGUUUGAGGCAUUUCAUAAGUAACCAUUACAUUGUUUUGCCAAUUGUUCCCCCAUAUAAAGUAGUUGAGAAUUUGAUUAGCUUAGUAGGACUCAGUUUUAUGGCUACAACCUCCACCUCCCAGGUUCAAGUGAUCCUCCUGCCUCAGCCCCUAGAGUAACUGGGAUUACAGGCGCCCAGCACCACACCCGGCUAAUUUUUGUAUUUUUAGUAGAGACAGGGUUUCACCAUGUUGGCCAGGAUGGUCUUGAACUCUUGACCCCAGAUGAUCCACCCACCUCGACCUCCCAAAGUGAUGGGAUUACGGGUGUGAGCCACCAUGCCUGGCCUCUUUCCUUCUUUUAAUUAUUCCUCUCAGUCUUUCUGUCUCUCAUUCUAUUAGUUAUUUCACUUUUCCUUCAAGUUAUAUAGAAGUUGAAAUAUAUGAGUUAGUGAGCAAAAUACAAUAAACCUGUAACAUUUUUUUUAUAUAUAGCUCAUUGAUUGAUAUAAACUAUUUGAUCACGGAAAUAUGACCAUGUAAAUCAAACAACUUAGAUACUAUUUACUUUGCCAUUACUUCUAAUGGCAAAAACCACAGUUACUUUUGUAUCAACCUAAUGCAUAAUACAUAAUUACAUUUGUAUCUACCUAAUACAUAAAAAUUGAGCUAUUAUAGAGGGCUUAUGCUUCAGUGCAGUUUUUACAUUGAUUUAUAAAAAGUAAAUUUCAAUGACUUUUUUGUUGGUAAUCUGUAUUGUUCUGAACUGUUCUUUUGGUACCAUAUUUUUGUUUGGAAGUAGUGGAUGUAUAUUUGAUCUAUUAUUUCUUAACAUUGGGUAAUUUGAUUAUUUUAAGAGUAGAUAUUUAUUAUUCCCCUGAUUGUUAAAAAGUAAUAAUGGCAUGUAACAAGAGUAUAAUGAAAAUACUUGUUCCAAACGUGUAAUAUUUAUCAAACUGACUUGAUUAUCUAUACACAUAUAUGCACACGAUAUUAUAAAGUGUUAAUCAUUUUAUGAAGAGAUGUUUUUUCAUUAGAAUGCAUUUUCCCUCAUAAUUUUAGAUUCUUUUUUUCUAUAUUAAUAUGACAUUUUGAUUCUUCUUCAAAUUAGCAGUGAAGAACUUUUCUUAUUGGCGGUCUUAUUUUGCUGCUUUUUCUCCCAUCAUCUCUAUAAUGACUGUGCUGAGCAUCACAAUUGUUUGAGACAGUUUUACUUGCAUUUCCUGGAGGCACUUCCCCUUUAACUUCUAUAUAAGAUCAAUAUUUAAUCACCUUUUUAAAAUCUAAAUUUAUACCAUGUCUCUCCAAAACGAACUAUUUGUCUAUCAUGUGCUGUUUCUUCAUAUUUUAAGUCCUAAAUGGAUUAGAGGUAAUAAUUGAGUGUAAGUUUCAAAGAAAAUAUGACUGCUUGAAAGAAUAAAUUGAAUGUGUGGAAAAUUAAAUUUUUCACUUAAUACAAUUAAUAAAGGUCACAUUCUUCAUAUAUGUGUAAGUGUUCAACUUAUACUUGAUUAGGAGUUAGGCAAUACAAUGUAUAUGGCAAUUAAUUAAAAAAAAUUCAUGAAUAU
rnacentral:lncRNA from 10 species